rnacentral:tRNA from 1 species
GCCUUCAUGGUGUGGUGGUCAGCACACUGGACGGGUAUUCCAGAAGUCCGUGGUUCGAGUCCCGACGAAGGCG